rnacentral:rRNA from 1 species
UACAGAGGGUGCGAGCGUUGUUCGGAAUUAUUGGACGUAAAGGGCGCGUAGGCGGCGCCACAAGUCACUUGUGAAAACUCUGGGCUCAACUCAGAGCCUGCAAGCGAAACUGUGGUGCUGGAGUAUGGGAGAGGUGCGUGGAAUUCCCGGUGUAGCGGUGAAAUGCGUAGAUAUUGGGAGGAACACCGGUGGCGAAGGCGGCUCACUGGACCGGUACUGACGCUGAGACGCGAAAGCCAGGGGAGCAAACGGG